AUUCCUGAUGGAUGUGCCCGUGAAAUCGGUGUGAGGCGCCUGUGAGAGGAGCAGAUCCGGUCACAGUUUGCCUCUGUACGUUCGGAAGUGAGAAAGCAGAAGCCCUCUAGAAAUGGCGGAGAAGUUAGCUCCUGAGAAGCGCCAUAGUUUCGUCCACGGCAUACUCUAUCUCCCUGUCUCUCUUCACCUUUUUCUGCAGUUUUUGACCACGGUCUCCCUCUCGUUUUUGUUCCCUCGAUUCAUCCAUAGUGUUCUCAUCGGCAAGAAUUUUGUUGUGAUUCAGGUCAAAAGGUCUUUGAAUGGGACAAUACACUCGCGGAGGUUAAUAAUUUAAUAUUUACAUCACACCCUUCAGCCCAACGUUUCUAAAAAGCUCUUCUACUGCAAGCAUGAUAUCACAGGCCCUGUGAAGACGAAUUCAUCAUUUUGGACUCUAGAGGAUGGUAUAAUGCACAUAACCCUUCAGAAGAGAGACAAAGGCCAGACUUGGUCUUCUCCUAUUUUGGGUCAGGCGACUCAGGCCCAGUUGGAUCUGUACUUGGCAGAUCAUGAACAAAAGCGCCUUAUGAUUCAGAGAUUCCAAGAGGAGAACCCAGGUUUUGAUUUCUCUCAAGCUCAGUUUGGUAGAAGUUUCCCUGAUCCACAGACAUUCAUAUGUGGGACCCACCCAGAUUGAUGAUCCUGGUUAUUCUACCACAGAUGAUAUAUUAAAAUAAAAUGACCAUGUGCUCUUGAUUGAACAACAAUGUUCCCUUCCAUUGGAAGCUAGUACGUGCUAGUUGCCUUCUAAUGUAGCUGGAUCGGCAUCAUGACCAUCAUCAUCAUCAUCUAAGCCUUAUCCAACUAUAUGGGUUGCCUUCUUGUGUAGCUGGAUCAUCAUCAUCUAAGCUGGAUGCAGUGCCAACCAUAUGGGGUCGGCUACAUUAAUCAUGUUUCACUAUUCUGUUGUUAUGUAGCUGGAUGCAGUGCCAAAUCACAGUGCAACAUCUAAUGCCAUUACUCAUCAGUCGUCUCUAUUCUAACCAGAAAUAACCAUAUUGUAAGUUGUAACUUGUCUUGAUCCAAACAACGUAAGCAAUUUCAUCAGGCAAGCAGGAACAAAAUUUGUUGAGUUGUUAGUGCCAAUCUGUUGUGAUUUGGACAUUCCAAUUUCCAGGCACGUGAUCUAUGCAAGUGGGGUGUGGGAGUGUUAAGCAGUUCUGUUUGCAGUGAUUUGGGAACAUCCAUCCUUGGAGAUCUCCAAUGAAGGUGAGGUGGGUCUCAUUCUUGUGACCUUGUCUUGUCCAAGCAUGGGCAAGGUAGGUAUAAGCUUUGCUGUACAGCCAGUGAAAAGAGGUAAAGCUCAUUUAUUUCCUGGGCCCAUACAUUGGCCCCAAACUGGUUCUAGUUUGAACAAUCAUACAAAGUUAAUAAACUGAUGGAAUGGACCAAUUCCAAAUUCUGCUCCCCCAUGGACUAGCUAAAAGCACGAUAUAGUAGUACAAGACUGGCUCUUUCUAGUUUC